CACGUAGGGGGCGAGCGUUGUCCGGAUUCAUUGGGCGUAAAGGGCGCGCAGGCGGCCCGGAAAGUCGGAUGUGAAAACUCGAGGCUCAACCUCGAGCGUGCACCCGAUACUGCCGGGCUUGAGGCAGGUAGGGGAGAUCGGAAUUCCUGGUGUAGCGGUGAAAUGCGCAGAUAUCAGGAGGAACACCAAUUGCGAAGGCAGCUCGCUGGGACGUAACUGACGCUGAGACGCGAAAGCGUGGGGAGCAAACAGG
rnacentral:rRNA from 1 species